GGCGGACGGGUGAGUAAUACUUAGGAAUCUACCCAGUAGCGGGGGACAACUCGGGGAAACUCGAGCUAAUACCGCAUACGCCCUACGGGGGAAAGCAGGGGAUCUUCGGACCUUGCACUAUUGGAUGAGCCUAAGUCGGAUUAGCUUGUUGGUGAGGUAAAGGCUCACCAAGGCGACGAUCCGUAGCUGGUCUGAGAGGACGAUCAGCCACACUGGGACUGAGACACGGCCCAG
rnacentral:rRNA from 1 species